rnacentral:piRNA from 1 species
UGAAACCAGACUAGACGUUGGGUCUG